rnacentral:rRNA from 1 species
AUGCUGGAGGUAUCAGAAGUGCGAAUGCUGACAUAAGUAACGAUAAAGCGGGUGAAAAGCCCGCUCGCCGGAAGACCAAGGGUUCCUGUCCAACGUUAAUCGGGGCAGGGUGAGUCGACCCCUAAGGCGAGGCCGAAAGGCGUAGUCGAUGGGAAACAGGUUAAUAUUCCUGUACUUGGUGUUACUGCGAAGGGGGGACGGAGAAGGCUAUGUUGGCCGGGCGACGGUUGUCCCGGUUUAAGCGUGUAGGCUGGUUUUCCAGGCAAAUCCGGAAAAUCAAGGCUGAGGCGUGAUGACGAGGCACUACGGUGCUGAAGCAACAAAUGCCCUGCUUCCAGGAAAAGCCUCUAAGCAUCAGGUAACAUCAAAUCGUACCCCAAACCGACACAGGUGGUCAGGUAGAGAAUACCAAGGCGCUUGAGAGAACUCGGGUGAAGGAACUAGGCAAAAUGGUGCCGUAACUUCGGGAGAAGGCACGCUGAUAUGUAGGUGAAGCGACUUGCUCGUGGAGCUGAAAUCAGUCGAAGAUACCAGCUGGCUGCAACUGUUUAUUAAAAACACAGCACUGUGCAAACACGAAAGUGGACGUAUACGGUGUGACGCCUGCCCGGUGCCGGAAGGUUAAUUGAUGGGGUUAGCGGUAACGCGAAGCUCUUGAUCGAAGCCCCGGUAAACGGCGGCCGUAACUAUAACGGUCCUAAGGUAGCGAAAUUCCUUGUCGGGUAAGUUCCGACCUGCACGAAUGGCGUAAUGAUGGCCAGGCUGUCUCCACCCGAGACUCAGUGAAAUUGAACUCGCUGUGAAGAUGCAGUGUACCCGCGGCAAGACGGAAAGACCCCGUGAACCUUUACUAUAGCUUGACACUGAACAUUGAGCCUUGAUGUGUAGGAUAGGUGGGAGGCUUUGAAGUGUGGACGCCAGUCUGCAUGGAGCCGACCUUGAAAUACCACCCUUUAAUGUUUGAUGUUCUAACGUUGACCCGUAAUCCGGGUUGCGGACAGUGUCUGGUGGGUAGUUUGACUGGGGCGGUCUCCUCCUAAAGAGUAACGGAGGAGCACGAAGGUUGGCUAAUCCUGGUCGGACAUCAGGAGGUUAGUGCAAUGGCAUAAGCCAGCUUGACUGCGAGCGUGACGGCGCGAGCAGGUGCGAAAGCAGGUCAUAGUGAUCCGGUGGUUCUGAAUGGAAGGGCCAUCGCUCAACGGAUAAAAGGUACUCCGGGGAUAACAGGCUGAUACCGCCCAAGAGUUCAUAUCGACGGCGGUGUUUGGCACCUCGAUGUCGGCUCAUCACAUCCUGGGGCUGAAGUAGGUCCCAAGGGUAUGGCUGUUCGCCAUUUAAAGUGGUACGCGAGCUGGGUUUAGAACGUCGUGAGACAGUUCGGUCCCUAUCUGCCGUGGGCGCUGGAGAACUGAGGGGGGCUGCUCCUAGUACGAGAGGACCGGAGUGGACGCAUCACUGGUGUUCGGGUUGUCAUGCCAAUGGCACUGCCCGGUAGCUAAAUGCGGAAGAGAUAAGUGCUGAAAGCAUCUAAGCACGAAACUUGCCCCGAGAUGAGUUCUCCCUGACUCCUUGAGAGUCCUGAAGGAACGUUGAAGACGACGACGUUGAUAGGCCGGGUGUGUAAGCGCAGCGAUGCGUUGAGCUAACCGGUACUAAUGAACCGUGAGGCUUAACCUUACAACGCCGAAG